rnacentral:rRNA from 1 species
GGGCCCGCACAAGCGGAGGAACAUGUGGUUUAAUUCGAUGAUACGCGAGGAACCUUACCCGGGCUCGAACGGCUGCAGAAUACGGAAGAAAGUUCGUAGCCAGCAAUGGCUGUAGUCGAGGUGCUGCAUGGUUGUCGUCAGCUCGUGCCGUGAGGUGUCGGCUUAAGUGCCAUAACGAGCGCAACCCUUACCGAUAGUUACCAGCGAGUGAAGUUGGGGACUCUGUCGGGACUGCCACCGUAAGGUGUGAGGAAGGUGGGGAUGACGUCAAAUCAGCACGGCCCUUACGUCCGGGGCGACACACGUGUUACAAUGGGGGGGACAAAGGGCAGCUACACAGCGAUGUGAUGCGAAUCUCGAAACCCUCUCCCAGUUCGGAUCGAAGUCUGCAACCCGACUUCGUGAAGCUGGAUUCGCUAGUAAUCGCGCAUCAGCCAUGGCGCGGUGAAUACG